rnacentral:rRNA from 1 species
GGUUAAAAAGCUCGUAGUUGGAUCUCGGCAGUCAGGGGGUGGUUCGCUUCUCGGCGCUACUGCCCCAUAUGACUGUGUGAUUGGCGGAGGUUUCGAGGUGCUCUUCGUUGAGUGACUCGGGGCGCCGUCAGGUUUACUUUGAAAAAAUUAGAGUGCUCAAAGCAGGCUUACACGCUUGAAUAUUCGUGCAUGGAAUAAUGGAAUAGGAACUCGUUUCUAUUUUGUUGGUUUUCGGAAAUCGAGUUAAUGAUUAAUAGGGACAAUUGGGGGCAUUAGUAUUCAGACGACAGAGGUGAAAUUCUUGGACCGUCUGAAGACUAACUACUGCGAAAGCAUUUGCCAAGAGUGUUUUCAUUAAUCAAGAACGAAAGUUAGAGGUUCGAAGGCGAUCAGAUACCGCCCUAGUUCUAACCAUAAACGAUGCCAGCUAGCGAUCUGCCGGGUGUUAUUUGUAGGCCCUGCAGGAAGCUUUCGGGAAACCAAAGCUUUUGGGUUCCGGGGGAAGUAUGGUUGCAAAGCUGAAACUUAAAGGAAUUGACGGAAGGGCACCACCAGGCGUGGAGCCUGCGGCUUAAUUUGACUCAACACGGGAAAUCUCACCAGGCCCGGACACUGGAAGGAUUGACAGAUUGAGAGCUCUUUCUCGAUUCGGUGGGUGGUGGUGCAU